CCAAAUAAACAGUGGUUAGAGCACUGGUCUUGUAAACCAGGAGUCGUGAGUUCAAAUCUCACUGGA
rnacentral:tRNA from 1 species